CCCUGAACUCUAGUUGUACAUUUCCAAGGAAAGAAGCUGAAAUGCAGAACCAGUUUUGCCGACAUGUAGUUUUAUUCUCUGCUCAUGCGCAGAAUAUCAUGUGUUUAGUUAGUAUACUGUAUUUUUGUGAUACACAGACAUAUUUGUCGUUUAUAUGUAUAUGAUUAUCGUGCAAGUGUCGGAGGACUAAUGUGAUUGAAGCACCAAGCCUUAAUAAAACUUGAAGAUCAUCCUGUUUUGAUUUAUCAUGAAGAGAUCUGAUAGAAUAGGAGCUUACAAUCAGGCCCAACGAAACACUACACGAUAGUUAGCUGGUUUAUCUCUAGGGCAACGUAGUCAGUUGCAAAACAAUGUGUACAGUGUGUGAUGUUGUGUAUAUCCUCUUGCAUUUACCUGAGAUGGUUCAACAGAAGAGUGUUCUACUGGAGCUAAAUCUAUUCCUUCACUAGCCAGGUUAAGCUGGGUCCAAUGCCAAUAUUCUCCAUCUGCCCCCGACCUAGUUCCUCUGGGGACUCUAUGCCUUUUCAUCAGAACACCCUGUAAUCAAAUAUAUAAAAACUUUCGGUUUGAAAUAUAUAAUUAAUUAAUUGAA